AAUGAACGCUGGCGGCGUGCUUUACACAUGCAAGUUGAGCGAGGCCACCCGCAAGGGUGAGUCGAGCGGCGAACGGGUGAGUAACGCGUGGAUGACCUGCCCUUUAGUGGGGAAUAACCC
rnacentral:rRNA from 1 species